AAGGAUCAUUAGUGAAUUUUGGGUGCUUCUAAUUUAUUAGAGACCCUACCCUCACAAUACCAACACUGUGCACUUUUAAUCUUAGCGAGGCUUACUCCAUUACGGAAUUUGCUUUGCGGAUUUUCAUUUAAACACUAGUCAAAGAAUGUAACAAAAAUCAUAACAAAAAAAAACUUUCAACAACGGAUCUCUUGGCUCUC
rnacentral:misc_RNA from 1 species